CUAAGGAGGAUGCAAGCGUUAUCCGGAUUUAUUGGGUUUAAAGGGUGCGUAGGCGGUUUGCUAAGCGGGAGGUGAAAUGCCGGCGCUCAACGUCGGAAGUGCCUCCCGAACUGGUGGACUGGAAUGACUCUGCCGUGGGCGGAAUGUGUAGUGUAGCGGUGAAAUGCUUAGAGAUUACACAGAACACCGAUUGCGAAGGCAUCUCACGAAGGGUUGAUUGACGCUGAGGCACGAAAGCGUGGGGAUCAAACAGGAUUAGAUACCCUGGUAGUCCACGCAGUAAACGAUGAUGGCUAACCGCUGGUUUAUUCGGAUCAGUGGCCAAGCGAAAGCGAUAAGCCAUCCACCUGGGGAGUACGACCGCAAGGUUGAAACUCAAAUGAAUCGACGGGG
rnacentral:rRNA from 1 species